rnacentral:rRNA from 1 species
GCAAGUCGAACGAGAAAGGUAUUGCUUGCAAUACUGCGUAGAGCGGCGCACGGGUGAGUAACACGUAGAUAAUCUCCCUUCGUGAUUGGGAUAACUGUUCGAAAGGGCAGCUAAUACCGGAUAAAGUAUGUUUACACAAGUAGACAUAUGAAAGAUUGCCUCUGGGAUAAGCAAUUGUUUGGAGAUGAGUCUGCGGACCAUUAGUUAGUUGGUGGGGUAAAGGCCUACCAAGGCAUCGAUGGUUAGCUGGUCUGAGAGGAUGAUC